rnacentral:rRNA from 1 species
CCUACGGGAGGCAGCAGUAGGGAAUAUUGCUCAAUGGGGGAAACCCUGAAGCAGCAACGCCGCGUGGAGGAUGAAGGUUUUCGGAUCGUAAACUCCUUUUGUUAGAGAAGAUAAUGACGGUAUCUAACGAAUAAGCACCGGCUAACUCCUUGCCAGCAGCCGCGGUAAUACGGAAGGUGCAAGCGUUACUCGGAAUCACUGGGCGGAAAGAGCGCGUAGGCUGGAUAGCAAGUCAGAAGUUAAAUCCUAUGGCUUAACCAUAGAACUGCAUUUGAAACUGUUAAUCUAGAGUAUGGGAGAGGUAGGUGGAAUUCUUGGUGUAGGGGUAAAAUCCGUAGAGAUCAAGAGGAAUACUCAUUGCGAAGGCGACCUGCUAGAACAUAACUGACGCUGAUGCGCGAAAGCGUGGGGAGCAAACAGGAUUAGAUACCCUUGUAGUC